rnacentral:rRNA from 1 species
CACGUAGGGCGCGAGCGUUGUCCGGAAUUAUUGGGCGUAAAGAGCUCGUAGGUGGUUUGUUACGUCCGCUGUGAAAACCUAGGGCUUAACCCUGGGCUUGCAGUGGAUACGGGCAGACUAGAGGUAGGUAGGGGAGAAUGGAAUUCCCGGUGUAGCGGUGAAAUGCGCAGAUAUCGGGAGGAACACCGGUGGCGAAGGCGGUUCUCUGGGCCUUACCUGACGCUGAGGAGCGAAAGCGUGGGGAGCGAACAGG